AUUGAACGCUGGCGGCAUGCCUAACACAUGCAAGUCGAACGAGUGGCGGACGGGUGAGUAAUGUCUGGGAAACUUCCUGAUGGAGGGGGAUAACUACUGGAAACGGUAGCUAAUACCGCAUACCCUCAGAUGUGCCCAGAUCGGAUUAGCUAGUUGGUGGGGUAACGGCUCACAAAGGCGACGAUCCCUAGCUGGUCUGAGAGGAUGACCAGCCACACUGGAAUGGAGAAACGGUCCAGACUCCGACGGGAGGAAGCAGUGGGGAAUAUUGGACAAUGGGGGAAAGCCUGAUGAAGCCAUGCCGCGUGUAUGAAGAAGGCCUUCGGGUUGUAAAGUACUUUCAGCGGGGAGGCGUUACCCGCAGAAGAAGCACCGGCUAACUCCGUGCCAGCAGCCGCGGUAAUAC
rnacentral:rRNA from 1 species